GUGGGGAAUAUUGCACAAUGGGGGAAACCCUGAUGCAGCGACGCCGCGUGGAGGAAGAAGGUCUUCGGAUUGUAAACUCCUGUUGUUGAGGAAGAUAAUGACGGUACUCAACAAGGAAGUGACGGCUAACUACGUGCCAGCAGCCGCGGUAAAACGUAGGUCACAAGCGUUGUCCGGAAUUACUGGGUGUAAAGGGAGCGCAGGCGGGAAGACAAGUUGGAAGUGAAAUCCAUGGGCUCAACCCAUGAACUGCUUUCAAAACUGUUUUUCUUGAGUAGUGCAGAGGUAGGCGGAAUUCCCGGUGUAGCGGUGGAAUGCGUAGAUAUCGGGAGGAACACCAGUGGCGAAGGCGGCCUACUGGGCACCAACUGACGCUGAGGCUCGAAAGUGUGGGUAGCAAACAGGAUUAGAAACCCCUGUAGUCC
rnacentral:rRNA from 1 species